rnacentral:rRNA from 1 species
CUUGACACACAUAAGAGGUCCAGCCUGCCCAGUGACUAAGUUCAACGGCCGCGGUAUCCUAACCGUGCGAAGGUAGCGUAAUCACUUGUUCUUUAAAUGAGGACUAGUAUGAAUGGCACCACGAGGGUUAUACUGUCUCCUUUUUUUAAUCAAUGAAACUGAUCUCCCCGUGAAGAAGCGGGGAUAAAUUUAUAAGACGAGAAGACCCUAUGGAGCUUUAAACAAUUAUAGCACUGGCCCACACCUCUUAUUCUUCUGAGAUAUAAUUAUCAUACAGGCCAACAUGACUAUUAGUUUUAGGUUGGGGUGACCGCGGAGCAAAAAUUAACCUCCACGUUGAACGGAGCUACUCCUGAGCUAAAAACUACAACUUUAAGCACCAAUAAACUGACAUCAAUUGACCCAAUAUAUUGAACAACGAAC